rnacentral:lncRNA from 1 species
ACUAACCUUAGUUAAGGGAAUUGACAAAUGACCUUAUUUUGUGAGGAAUUCAAGUCGGGAAUUUAAGCUCCUAAAUUGCACGAUUAUUUUCCCGUGAAAAUUACUAAUUCCACGGGAUAAGUAUCCAAACGAGGGAAACCGUUCUAAAAAAUUAGGAAUUCCUUAUGUUUGAUUAAAUUCUCAGGAAUUCACCUACAUCCAAACAUACCGUAAAUGUAUACUCCGCGCCGAGGCGCGGGUAUAAUUCUAGUAUCAACCAAUAGACAACGAUAGAUCCAAACAAGCAAUUUUAACGAGGAUAAAUCAUACAUUUACCUUAAAGCAAUUUUACGGAGGAUAAAUCAUAUAUUUACCUUAAAUUCUUGCACGUUACUUUUUAGAAGACCAAAACAUCUCCCUCCAAAAAAUUGUAAUUUAUAGAAAACCCUCUACAUCUCUACAUUCAAAACUGAGUGCCAUCUUUAUGUCAUAUACCCCAAGUCCCCAACACCAUGGUCGCCACCUCCAACUUCCUCACCAUUAAACUUGACCGAACCAAAUCUUCCACACACAAAAACACACACACACACACACAAAAAACCUUGACCGGACCAAUUACUCUCUCUGGCUAGCCCACAUUACUUCUAUAUCUGCUCAAAAGCAGAAACCUCAUGGGUUUUGUUGAUGGCACCGGACCAACCCUUUUCUCUCUGGUUACUUCUAUGUCCUUCCUGCUUCAAGACUGAUGAAGCUGGUCAACUCACCAACGACAUCAACCCUGGUUAUGAGCUGUGGAUCUCACAGGAUCAGAUGGUCCUCGGCUGGAUUAACAAUUCCCUCACCCUGAUCUACCAAUUGUUUCUAUACCUCUACGCCUUGCGUCUCAUUCACGGAAUUGUAUCCUCCAACUCCGAGGAGAGCUCCUUCAUACCAUGAGAGAUAACCUAAGUAUCUCUGAUUUCUGAUAUGAAAACACCAUUAGCUUUGCUCAAGCCAGGGACACCGGACACCCCAAUCACAUAUGAUGCCCUUGAAGCAUCACUUUCGGGUUGCCAACCAGCCAAUGUUAGCAUCUAUGUUCGGUUGCCUCCAUGUUUGGUAAUAUACCCUCCUGUGCAAAGCAGUAGUAUCAAUUUGUAAGCUGAUGUAGUAACAAAAACAAGAAAGCCAUACAUACAAUCUCGCAUAUGUUUACCUUGGAGCAGCAUUUGUGUCCUCGAAGAAUCUCCGUGGCUGUCUCACCAAAGAAAGCAGCAUAGAUACUUCUACCGUAGAAAGGCUUUUUGCCAGGGUUUGGAAUGUUGUGCUUAUCCUUGGCACACCAGAGGUGGAUUUUCAAUAAUGGAUCCAUUGUUUAUUGGUGGAAGAAGAGUGCAGAAGGUUUCCUAGCCCUAGAGUUUGAAGCCGCUAGGGUUUUAAAACUGAGAAGGCAAUAGAGCACGAAACAAUAGUGAAGUUUAAAUAGGGUCUACCGGUCUAGGUUAGUAUGUUCUAGGAUUUGUAGUUGUUUAUAUUCGGUAGGAAUCGUAGAAUCCAUGUUUUGUGGUUCUUGGCCACAUAAUAAUUACUCGGAUGGAAGAAAUCAAGUAGAUCAC